UACGGAGGGUGCAAGCGUUAAUCGGAAUUACUGGGCGUAAAGCGCACGCAGGCGGUCUGUCAAGUCAGAUGUGAAAUCCCCGGGCUUAACCUGGGAACUGCAUUUGAAACUGGCAGGCUUGAGUCCCGUAGAGGGGGGUAGAAUUCCAGGUGUAGCGGUGAAAUGCGUAGAGAUCUGGAGGAAUACCGGUGGCGAAGGCGGCCCCCUGGACGAAGACUGACGCUCAGGUGCGAAAGCGUGGGGAGUAAACAGG
rnacentral:rRNA from 1 species